rnacentral:rRNA from 1 species
GAUGAACGCUAGCGGCAGGCUUAAUACAUGCAAGUUGAGGGGCAGCAUGAUAUACGCGAGUAUAUUGAUGGCGACCGGCGGACGGGUGAGUAAUAGGUAGGAGACCUACCUCAUACAGGGGGAUAGCAUAGAGAAAUCUGUGGUAAUACCCCAUGAGGUUAUAUGAAUAGAGGCAUAUAAUCAAAGCAUAAGCGAUUAUGCGGUAUGAGAGGGGCCUACUGACCAUUAGCUAGUUGGUGAGGUAAGGGCUCACCAAGGCGAAGAUGGUUAGGGGUUUUGAGAGAGAGACCCCCCACAUUGGAACUGAGAGACGGUCCAGACUCCUACGGGAGGCAGCAGUAGGGAAUAUUGGGCAAUGGGCGAAAGCCUGACCCAGCCAUGCCGCGUGAAGGAAGACGGCCUUAUGGGUUGUAAACUUCUUUACUACGCGAAUAGAGGUUAGUACGAGAUACUAAUAGGAAGGUAGUAGUAGUAAAAAGCACGGCUAACUCCGU